UCAAAUAAUUGACAGCGCACUUCACUCCGUCCAUAACGCCUAGGCAGGGCGCUACUCUGGAGAGAUUUGGAACUAUUGUUCGUAGCUGACAGCUGGACACUUUUGCAA